CAUGACUCCUGUCUAAGCAAAAACACACUUGAAGUUUCUCUCUCUAAACUUGGUAGUAUUUCUCUCUACAAACUUGUGUAAAUUGUUGAAUAUGUCUUGAGCACUCACCCUCUCCUCUAAAUGGGGUGGCUGCAAUCCCUCCUCUCUCCCUUCAAGAAGCUGGGGAUUCGUCUAAAUGCUGCUAAGAAGAAGAGUAGAGGGAUGUACAUUUUGUACGAGGAUGUGAAAUUGUGCCCUUACGAAGAUGUCCAUGUGCUUUGGUCCAUAUUGGUGGAGUCACAUCGGCCACCGUUGCCACUGCCACUGCCACUGCCGCCGCCUCCCAAAUGACGUACGCUUCCCCAUUUAGCAAGAAAAGCUAUGACACGACGGGAAGAAACCAAAGAGACAUACAUACAUAUAGAGUAUCACCUUUAGUAGGGUUGUCAAAUCGGGUACCCGAGGAUACCCGAUCCGAAAAUUUCGGGUACCCGAUCCCGAUUUUCUGAAAAAACGAUACUCGAUACCCAAUUCGAAACUGAAAUCGGAUAGCCGAAUACCCGACUCGGGUAUCUAGCCACGAAAAAUCAGAUGAGAGGAAGGCCUACUUUGCGGAACGGCAGGAGUUGGCGCGCAAGGACGUGGAUCGC